AGAUACUAUUAGACUUGAGACCGGGAGAGGUUAGAGGUAUCCCAGGGUAGAGGUGAAAUUCUGUAAUCCUGGGAGGACCGCCUGGUUGCGAAGGCGUCUAACUGGAACGGUUCUGACGGUGAGGACGAAAGUUAGGGGCGCGAACCGGAUUAGAUACCCGGGUAGUCCUAACUGUAAACGAUGCGGACUUGGUGUUGGGGUGGCUUUGAGCUGCUUCAGUGCCGAAGGGAAGCUGUUAAGUCCGCCGCCUGGGAAGUACGGUCGCAAGACUGAAACUUAAGGAAUUGCGGGGGAGCACCACAACGCGUGGAGCCUGCCGGUUUAAUUGGAUUCAACGCCGGACAUCUCACCAGAGGCGACAGCUGUAUGAUAGCCAGGUUGAUGACUUUGCUUGACUAGCUGAGAGGAGGUGCAUGG
rnacentral:rRNA from 1 species